CGAGCCGCUGGCGGCGUGCCUAAUACAUGCAAGUCGAACGCUUCUUUCCUCCCGAGUGCUUGCACUCAAUUGGAAAGAGGAGUGGCGGACGGGUGAGUAACACGUGGGUAACCUACCCAUCAGAGGGGGAUAACACUUGGAAACAGGUGCUAAUACCGCAUAACAGUUUAUGCCGCAUGGCAUAAGAGUGAAAGGCGCUUUCGGGUGUCGCUGAUGGAUGGACCCGCGGUGCAUUAGCUAGUUGGUGAGGUAACGGCUCACCAAGGCCACGAUGCAUAGCCGACCUGAGAGGGUGAUCGGCCACACUGGGACUGAGACACGGCCCAGACUCCUACGGGAGGCAGCAGUAGGGAAUCUUCGGCAAUGGACGAAAGUCUGACCGAGCAACGCCGCGUGAGUGAAGAAGGUUUUCGGAUCGUAAAACUCUGUUGUUAGAGAAGAACAAGGACGUUAGUAACUGAACGUCCCCUGACGGUAUCUAACCAGAAAGCCACGGCUAACUACGUGCCAGCAGCCGGGC
rnacentral:rRNA from 1 species